CUAGAUCACAAAACUUCGAAAAAGUGUCAACUUCCCAAUCUUGUCUGCAAUUAAGACUUCUUUCAUUUUUGCCAUGCCAUAGAAUUCCGGAUAAGCUUCCUUGAGUGCCCUACUGCCACACCAUCCAUCAUGCCAAAAUUUGAUUUUGGACCCAUCACCCACCACAAA